GAUAAAGCCUUUGAAACAGCUUUUUAGACACAGGAUCUUAGUAAAAGGGAAGAUAAACCACUGUGGAGGCUGGAAAUCUCUAUUACUACAGUGAACAGACAUUGCUCCCGGUGUUCCUUGUUUAUUGAUUGGCAGUGCUGGGGACCCCAGCCUUAACAGGCCAGCGUGCAUGGUCUACACUCAGCAGGGACAGGGCAUCCUGUUCCUCAGACUCCACACUGAGGCACGACCCAGCCCAGGGUCCCUGCAACCGAGACUGGGAGACAGGGAAGGUGCAGUGCAUGCAAGCUCCUGGGCCUCAGAGCACACAGCACAGAGGGUGGAGGGAGGGGCGCUGUGGCCCUCAACCCACACAACAUGAGGAGGGACGAUGAGCGCCAGGCCGCCCGUGACCCCACUGGGGCAGAUCCAGACCCACCAGGCCCUUGGCUUCCAGCCCGCACCCUGCAUCUUUUACCCCACACCUUGAGGUGGAGGCCAGUGAGGAAGAACGCACAUCCUCCAAGGAUCCUGCAAGAGUCUUGGUCCAAAGCCCAGGGCCACAGGAGCCCCCAGGAGCCUCAAGACCAACCUGGCACCAGCGCUGCUAUCACCAGGUCAGGGAAGGGACUACAGGCACAGAGGAAUCCCCAGCUGUGCAGGGUUGCAGGAAGGACAGGCGCACACAGAACCAGACUGAAGCACCGGAUGCCCUGUCCUUCAGUGCCAGAGGACAACACACCACAGCAGGAAGCAUUGAGAGCAUUCAGAGCCCUGACCUCACUGGCACUGGAAUAAGGAGCUGGAAACAGACCAGGCAGUGCUCAACAUGGGGAUGCUCCUGGGGCGUACAUAAAACACCUAAUUCAAGAAGUGGAGCUCUUAGCUUGAGCUCCAGUCAGUGAGCUGAAAUGGAAAACAAACAAAACAAAACAAAGAAGUAUGUCAAAGCAGAGAAACAUGAAAGAUAUGCAAGCAAUGUUUAAGACCAAACAAAUUCUUGAGAUGAAAACUCCUUUCAGCAAAAUUAGAAACAUGAAGUCAUCAACAGCAGGAAAGACAAACACACAAAGAAAUGGUUAUGUCAAGGACAGAUUAUUUGAAAAUACACAAUUGAAGGUGGAAAAAAAGGAGAG
rnacentral:lncRNA from 1 species